rnacentral:rRNA from 1 species
AGGUAAGCUACUAAGAGCGAAUGGUGGAUGCCUUGACUGGUAAAGGCGAUGAAGGACGUACUAGACUGCGAUAAGCUACGGGGAGCUGUCAAGAAGCUUUGAUCCGUAGAUUUCCGAAUGGGGCAACCCAAUGUAUAGAGAUAUACAUUACCUAUAUAGGAGCGAACGAGGGGAAUUGAAACAUCUUAGUACCCUCAGGAAAAGAAAUCAAUAGAGAUUGCGUCAGUAGCGGCGAGCGAAAGCGCAAGAGGGCAAACCCAGUGCUUGCACUGGGGGUUGUAGGACUGCAAUGUGCAAGAGGUAAGUUUAGCAGAACAUUCUGGAAAGUAUAACCAUAGAGGGUGAUAGUCCCGUAUGCGAAAAACAAACCUUAGCUAGCAGUAUCCUGAGUAGGGCGGGACACGAGGAAUCCUGUCUGAAUCCGGGUCGACCACGAUCCAACCCUAAAUACUAAUACCAGAUCGAUAGUGCACAAGUACCGUGAGGGAAAGGUGAAAAGAACUGAGGUGAUCAGAGUGAAAUAGAACCUGAAACCAUUUGCUUACAAUCAUUCAGAGCCCUAUGUAGCAAUACAGGGUGAUGGACUGCCUUUUGCAUAAUGAGCCUGCGAGUUGUGGUGUCUGGCAAGGUUAAGCAAACGCGAAGCCGUAGCGAAAGCGAGUCUGAAUAGGGCGCUUAGUCAGAUGCUGCAGACCCGAAACGAAGUGAUCUAUCCAUGAGCAAGUUGAAGCUAGUGUAAGAACUAGUGGAGGACUGAACCCAUAGGCGUUGAAAAGCCCCGGGAUGACUUGUGGAUAGGGGUGAAAGGCCAAUCAAACUUCGUGAUAGCUGGUUCUCUCCGAAAUAUAUUUAGGUAUAGCGUUGUGUCGUAAUAUAAGGGGGUAGAGCACUGAAUGGGCUAGGGCAUACACCAAUGUACCAAACCCUAUCAAACUCCGAAUACCUUAUAUGUAAUCACAGCAGUCAGGCGGCGAGUGAUAAAAUCCGUCGUCAAGAGGGAAACAACCCAGACUACCAGCUAAGGUCCCUAAAUCUUACUUAAGUGGAAAACGAUGUGAAGUUACUUAAACAACCAGGAGGUUGGCUUAGAAGCAGCCAUCCUUUAAAGAAAGCGUAAUAGCUCACUGGUCUAGUGAUUUUGCGCGGAAAAUAUAACGGGGCUAAAGUAAGUACCGAAGCUGUAGACUUAGUUUACUAAGUGGUAGGAGAGCGUUCUAUUUGCGUCGAAGGUAUACCGGUAAGGAGUGCUGGAGCGAAUAGAAGUGAGCAUGCAGGCAUGAGUAGCGAUAAUUAAUGUGAGAAUCAUUAACGCCGUAAACCCAAGGUUUCCUACGCGAUGCUCGUCAUCGUAGGGUUAGUCGGGUCCUAAGUCGAGUCCGAAAGGGGUAGACGAUGGCAAAUUGGUUAAUAUUCCAAUACCAACAUUAGUGUGCGAUGGAAGGACGCUUAGGGCUAAGGGGGCUAGCGGAUGGAAGUGCUAGUCUAAGGUCGUAGGAGGUUAUACAGGCAAAUCCGUAUAACAAUACUCCGAGAACUGAAAGGCUUUUUGAAGUCUUCGGAUG